UCAGGUGGCCAUAAAGCCGCGGACCUACCCGUUCCCAUCCCGAACACGGCCGUAAAACGCGGCAUUGCCGAUGGUAGUGCAUGUAUAGCUUGCGCGAGAGUAGGUUGCCGCCUGGA
rnacentral:rRNA from 1 species